rnacentral:rRNA from 1 species
UACGUAGGGACCAAGCGUUGUUCGGAUUUACUGGGCGUAAAGGGCGCGUAGGCGGCAUGACAAGUCACUUGUGAAAUCUCUGGGCUUAACUCAGAACGGCCAAGUGAUACUGUCGCGCUAGAGUGCAGAAAGGGCAAUCGGAAUUCUUGGUGUAGCGGUGAAAUGCGUAGAUAUCAAGAGGAACACCUGAGGCGAAGGCGGGUUGCUAGGCUGACACUGACGCUGAGGAGCGAAAGCCAGGGGAGCAAACGGG